rnacentral:lncRNA from 1 species
UGCAGUGGUGUAAGAGACCCAUCCCCAACAACGUCAACCUGCAGAAGGAAAGGCCAGUUUUCCUUCAAUCGAAGGUCAUGGAGAUCAUUACGUGUCAUGCAAUGGUGAAGAGGUUGGGUAAGAACCGGUGAAAACGACACGUGUUGCACCAUUAUCAAGCAGGUGCAAUAGCCGCAAGGUUUAGGGGGUGAGGGUGAGAAAAAAAUCGUAUAAAAGGAGAGAGAAAAUGCCAUAGAAAGCAGUCGAGUGAGGAUCUCCGACACGGCAACAACUGCUCUCUUCGUCGUAAUAUCAGUUCGCAAUCAUGGUUGAUAAUGGCGUUGGGUUGCUGUUGGGUGUUGUAUCGUUGAUGCCGAGCCCGAAAGAGAGAAGGCGAUGGAAAUCAAUCGAGUGAGCAUCUCUGACACGGCAACUGCACUCUUGGUGUUAUUACCAGUUCUCAAUCAGAGUAAACUAUGCCGUCGGGCUGCACUACACACUACAACAGAUGCUGUUCCAAGCUACUAAACCGAAGCCUCGAAGUAUAAUUCUUCCCCGAGCUACGCUACCAAAGCACACAGGUGCUACACCAACGAGUCUCCCAAGUACUACACAACUACGUAUGCUGCUCCAGCCUACUACACCAAGGCUCCCAAGUACUACUCUGCUCCCAGCUACUACACCGAGCCAAAAGUAACGGACUGAAGGUGCUCAAAGAUUUUGCUGAGGACGGUAGCAGGUCGAGUCCUCCCUAAAUGAGCGAAUGGACAACCGAGAAGUUGAAUGCGGAAAGUGUUAAUGCGUUGCCCAAAGCUAAUGUUGAGGGUGCAAGCUUGGAAGACAACAAGGUUCCAUUGAUCUUUAACAAUGGUCGAAAGGUUUAAACUGACCAUGUUGUCGUUGCUGUCGGUUUGAACGCAAACACGGAUUGGCUGUCGCUUCUGGUUUGGAAAUCGAUUCCAAUUUUGGCGGUUAUCGAGUCAAUGCUGAGCUUGAAGCAGAUCAAACGUCUGGUUGCUAGAGAUGCUGCCUGCUUUUAUGAUAUCAAAUUGGAUCGUCGUCGUGUGGAACAUCAUGACCAUGCUGUCGUAUCGUUGGCAUGGAUUGCCAGGCUGUGUUAUUGAUUGGCUAGAGUGCAUAUGAUUGGCAAUGCAUGCAUUCAAAAUGGGUGAAGGACUGCAGCGCAAUAUUUGUCACUAUCUGCACUCUUUGUCGUAUUUUCAGUACGCAAUCAUGGUUAACUAUGGUGUCCUGCUGCUGUAUGUUGUAUCGUUGAUGGCUGGGUCAACCAUUGGUGUACCGAUGUCUCCUGGGUAUGGCGGAUACCAAGCCGCAACGUCGCCGCUUUCCUACACAACAACAUACGCAACAACCGGUUACCACACCACCAAGGCUGCAGAAUAUUACACCACAACCUAUGAUGCCCCGAACUACUACAUCGAAGCCCUGAAGUAUAACUCUGCCCCGAGUUGCCUCAACAAAGAGGCGGAGUACUACACCACCAAGGCAGCGGAGUACUACACCACCAAGGCAGCGGAGUACUACACCACCAAGGCAGCGGAGUACUACACCACCACGUAUGCUGUCCCAGCCUUUUACACCGAGGUUUCCAACUACUACUGUGCCUAUCUACUACACCGAAGCUCCAGCUUAUUAUACCGCCAAAGCGGUAGAGUACUACACCGAAGCGCCCAAAUUCUAUCUGCCCGAGCUACGAAACUUCAACUGAGGCGGCCCAGUAUUACGUAGCUCCUACUUACUACACAGUGGAUGGUCCUUAAUACUACGUUGGACCGAAAUACUACUCUGAGUCUCCAGUUUACUACACCACAACCUACGCUACCCCUAGCUAUUAAACCGAAGCCGCCAAGUCCUACACCGAAAAGGCCGAAUAUUACCCAAUGACGUAUGCUGCCCAAGUUUACUACACAGAGGAACCCAAGUUUAACUCUGCUCCAACCAACAUCAAACAGAGGAUCCGUUUUACUACACCACCAAGGCUCCUGAGUAUCACAAUGCAACCUACGCUGGUCCCAGCUACUACUCUGAUCCAAAAUAUUACUCUGCCCCGAGUUACUACACCACUAAAGCAUUUGGAUAUUAAACCCCGACCUACGCUUUUUCAGUUUACGAGAGAAAGUCUCCUAAAUACUAGCCGAAAUUUCAGUUUGAUUUAAUUGUGUUCAGAUCAUACUAGUCACUGGUAUUGUGGUUGUUCUUAAAUGAGAAAAUAAAUAUUUUAAUGACGGUAA